UGGGGAAUAUUGCACAAUGGGCGAAAGCCUGAUGCAGCAACGCCGCGUGAGUGAUGAAGGCCUUCGGGUUGUAAAGCUCUGUCUUUUGGGACGAUAAUGACGGUACCAAAGGAGGAAGCCACGGCUAACUACGUGCCAGCAGCCGCGGUAAUACGUAGGUGGCAAGCGUUGUCCGGAUUUACUGGGCGUAAAGGAUGCGUAGGCGGAUUUUUAAGUGAGAUGUGAAAUACCCGGGCUUAACUUGGGUGCUGCAUUUCAAACUGGGAAUCUAGAGUGCGGGAGAGGAGAAUGGAAUUCCUAGUGUAGCGGUGAAAUGCGUAGAGAUUAGGAAGAACACCAGUGGCGAAGGCGAUUCUCUGGACCGUAACUGACGCUGAGGCAUGAAAGCGUGGGUAGCAAACAGGAUUAGAUACCCUGGUAGUCCACGCCGUAAAACGAUGAGUACUAGGUGUAGGAGGUAUCGACCCCUUCUGUGCCGCAGUUAACACAAUAAGUACUCCGCCUGGGAAGUACGAUCGCAAGAUUAAAAACUUAAAAGG
rnacentral:rRNA from 1 species